rnacentral:rRNA from 1 species
AGGAUGAACGCUGGCGGUCUGCUUAACACAUGCAAGUCGAACGGAGUACCUCGGUACUUAGUGGCGGACGGGUGAGUAACGCGUGAGAAUCUGCCCUUAGGUCGGGGACAACCAUUGGAAACGAUGGCUAAUACCGGAUAAGCCGAGAGGUAAAAGAUUAAUUGCCUAGGGAAGAGCUCGCGUCUGAUUAGCUAGUUGGUGAGGUAAAGGCUCACCAAGGCAUCGAUCAGUAGCUGGUCUGAGAGGAUGAUCAGCCACACUGGGACUGAGACACGGCCCAGACUCCUACGGGAGGCAGCAGUGGGGAAUUUCCGCAAUGGGCGAAAGCCUGACGGAGCAAGACCGCGUGGGGGAAGAAGGCUCUUGGGUUGUAAACCCCUUUUCUCUGGGAAGAACACAAUGACGGUACCCGGUAAAGAAACCCCGGCUAACUCCGCGCCAGCAGCCGC